GUGAGCUGCUGCUGCACCCGGGUGGACAGAUGUCUGGGCCUCCUGGCUGCCCACCCUGCAGCCCCCCGCUGAGGGAUGGACUGAAGCCCCGCCCCCAGCCCCUUCCUUUCUCAACCUGAGCUCCCACCCAGCUUCCACCUCCCAGCUCGCUAGGGGAGGGACUAGGAAUUUGCCAGCUGCCUGAGGCUCCUCGGUGCAGAAAGGUUGGCAGGCGGCAGCCCGGGGUGUGCUCGGGCUGCGAUUUCCCCUUGUGUCUGUCCCUGAAAACACUCAACUGCGGCACUCUGCGGUAAGCCAGCUGCACCCUUGCAUUUGGAAGCAGCGGCGUUUGGGGAGGGGUGUGUGAGUGUGUGUGUGUGUGUGUGUGUGUGUAUGUGUGUGUGUGUGUGUGUGUAUGGGGGGGGGGGGGGGGAUUCUGUCAUCGCUGCAACCGAGAAGCCAGACGCCUGCCUGCCUGGCCUUUCCUUCCUUCUCUGGGAUGUGCAGACGGGGAUCCGCAUUUUGUGCAAUACAGGCUUUUUGAGGGGCACCCUAGCCUCAAAGCCUGAAGGGAAGGAACACAUGCUUAGUCGGCUUGCCUAGCGAACGCCCGGAUUCCACCAUGGACCGGUUUCUUCAUGUUGUCAUUUCUAAGACUCACACAGACCAACACACCUUAUUUCAUAAGCACGAAGGAGCUAGGAUGCAAAGGCAUUAGGCGCCUGCCUUCUCCUUAAUUCUUGGUAUCAUGUGUCCUGAUUUCAGUCGGCUUUGUUUCUCACAACUAAUAGGCUUAGUGGAGGGAUUAAAUAAGAGAAUUGUAUUUUGACAACGAUGGAACCUCUGUCAGGUGAGGUUUGACCAGCCAUUUCGAAAGCCACUGGGCCCUCUUUUCCUCAGCAUAUCUAUGACUGGAAGUUUCCAAUAGAAUGAAUUAUAAUGUAGUAAUUAUUUAACGCCGCCGCCCCCCUCCCCCCCGCCCGGGCACACAAACGUACAAAUUCCGUCCUCCAGCCAACACACAAACAAGACUUCCUAGUUCCUCUCCUAAUUCAUUCGAGAAACGAAAGGACAGUAUACUUUUUUUUUUUCUAGCAAAGAACUUUAAAAACCAAUUAAAUGCCACUUCUAGAAAUGUCCUGGUUUACCUGUGAAUGUGGAUAUGGAUACAGUACAGGAUACACUCCUAUACUCAAUGCUUCAGCUUCCUGAAAUCCUUCAUCAGACUGAGGUCUCCCUAAUUCACAUGCAUACUUCAGUGAUGAGUUCAUUUUUUUUUUAAUCAGCUGUACCGAGAAUGUACGAGAUCUAUGUAAAAGAUGAUUGGAAGGCUUUCCUUCAAAAAUAUCCAUUAAUAACUGGGUUGGCACUCCCCCAUCUUACACAGCACUGAAAGAACAAGCCACAGGGGUACUGAGAAAAAUGCUACAUUGGCUCUCCCAGGGCCCCAGUCUCACCUGGCACCAGCUAGCUUCACUUGCAUUGAAGCCUAAGGGAAAUUAUUAACUUUGCUAAACCUUGGACCCUCAUUUAUACAGUAGGCAUACUCAAUGCACCCAUUUAUACAGUGGGCAUAAUCAAGGCAACAUUUCCUUGCACACAGCACUCUCAUAUUCCAUUACUUAGUGAACCAAUAGUAAUAGUAAGUAGUGGGGGAGAGCAGGUUGUGAUAAGCAAACAAGCUACUCUAUAUCGCCACUAUAAAUAUUUAUGGUUCGUUUGUUUUUGAGACAGGGUCUCUCUUUGUCUCCCUGGCUGUCCUGGAAAUGACUAUGUAGACCGCCUGACUCUACCACCUAAGUGCUGAGGUUACAGGUGUGCACCACCACACCCAGCCUUAAAUACAUAAACUUUUUACAUCUUAAUUUGGGACUUGAGAAAGGGCUCAGCUGUUCUUGAGGAGGACCCAUAUACAGUACCCAGCAUCCCCAAACAUCAGUAAUUCUGGUUCCGGGGGUUGCAGCGCCUUCUUCUGGCCUCCACAGGUACUGCAUGCACAGAUACACAUGCGGGCAAAACACUCGUAUACAUAAAGUAGAAAUGAAUAAAUCCUUUAGAAAACUCCCAACACAGGUUUUAAAAUUUUUCGGUGGUGCUCUGAGCCUACUUCCUGGUCACUCCAUGCAUUUCAAAGGAAACGAUGAUAAAGACUUAAAGCUAGUUAGGAGAAAAAAAAAUGGCAUUUAGUUUUUCCUGUGAAGAGUGAAUUGGCUGUUCUGUAUCAGGCUCCACACUUUUAUUUUAGUAAGUGGACAUACAUCCUAAAUAAACAGAAGAGGCCUUCUGCUCUGCUCAAAGUCUGGCCCAUCAAAGGGAACGAAACCUGCUGCAAGCUGGGACAAGACCAGCUUCUUUUGUCCAGUUUUCUUGGGGAGGGGCUCAUUU
rnacentral:lncRNA from 1 species